GGAGUGUACAGCUCAAGUGGUAGAGCGGACGCCUAGCGUGCGUGAGGUUCUGGGUUCAAUCCUCAGUACCUCCU
rnacentral:tRNA from 1 species